UACGAGGGGGGCAAGUGUUGUUCGGAAUCACUGGGCGUAAAGGGAGCGUAGGCGGGUUCUUAAGUAAGGUGUUUAAUCCCGGGGCCCAACCCCGGACCGGCACUUUAAACUGGGAAUCUUGAAUAGUGGAGAGGUCGGUGGAAUUGGGGGUGUAGCGGUGGAAUGCGUAGAGAUCCCCAAGAACACCAGUUGCGAAGGCGGCCGACUGGACACAUAUUGACGCUGAGGCUCGAAAGCAUGGGGAGCAAACAGG
rnacentral:rRNA from 1 species